GGUGACUCUCAGCGUGACCACGUCUUCGCUUGUGUAUUUAAUGAAGAGGUGAUGCUCAUCCAGCAGCUGCAUCUUCCACAUCCUGAGCCGUCUGAGUUGAUCGAAAAACUGGAAAAACCUGACAGAACAACUUAGUUUUUGUUUUAAAAGCCAUUACAGGUGUAUGUUUUAUAAUCCGAGAAAGGAAAAAUGACACAAAGAUGGAGAGACAGGAAGAGUUCUGGCAGAACUGGACCAGAUUUUUGAUUUGCUGGACAUCUCUACAAGCAGAACAUGCCAUCUGAGUUGUCACCUCCUCUUGGCCGUGGCGCUGCCGUCCUGCUCCGCUCUCCUCCACAGGUAGACCAGCAGUCUGUG